rnacentral:rRNA from 1 species
AGAAUUUGAUCUUGGUUCAGGACGAACGCUGGCGGCGUGCCUAACACAUGCAAGUCGAGCGGGGACAUGCGACGGAUAGGAAGAUUUCGGUUGGACUUGAAGAUGCAUUGUUCUAGCGGCGGACGGGUGAGUAACGCGUGAGCAACCUGUCCCUUACGAGGGGGAUAACACAGCGAAAGUUGUACUAAUACCGCAUGAGACCACGGGAGGACAUCCUUCAGGGGUCAAAGGAGCAAUCCGGUAAGGGGUGGGCUCGCGUCCGAUUAGAUAGUUGGUGAGGUAACGGCCCACCAAGUCGACGAUCGGUAGCCGACCUGAGAGGGUGAUCGGCCACAUUGGGACUGAGACACGGCCCAAACUCCUACGGGAGGCAGCAGUGGGGAAUAUUGGGCAAUGGGGGAAACCCUGACCCAGCAACGCCGCGUGAGGGAAGAAGGUUUUCGGAUCGUAAACCUCUGUCCUUGGUGAAGAGGAAGAGACGGUAGCCAAGGAGGAAGCCCCGGCUAACUACGUGCCAGCCGCCGC